rnacentral:tRNA from 1 species
GAGGGUAUAGCUCAGUGGUAGAGUGCCUGAGUAGCAUGCAUGAGGUCCUGGGUUCAAUCCCCAGUACCUCCA